UCUUCCCAUGUCACUUGACCUUGCUUCCACCUUCCUUUUUUGCUUUAUUUCCAGGAGAAAAUUCCUGUUCAGCCAGGUCAGCCUUCUGUCUUGCCUUCUCGUCUUAAGACAUUUGGGAAUUUCCAAAUGGGAUGCUGCAGUCCACUUCUGCUUUCUUUUUACCUGUUAGAGAGGUCAUCCUCUAGUGAUUUUCAGCAGGGCCCAGCUCGCCUCUCAGAUGAAGUUUGGAGACUGAAGGGAAAUUAGGUGCAUCUGAAUAUGGAUCAGCAUGCUCUUCCAUUUGUGAAUAUUCUGAGUUGGAAGGAGCCCACAAGGAUCAUCAGGUCCAGCUCUCAAGUGAAUGGCCUGCACAGGGAUCAAACCCAUGACCUUGGCUUUUGUAGCACCAUGCUCUAACCAAUUAAGGAGAAGUUGACCCUCACUAGAUGCAAGUUCACAGAAGACAGAGAAAAAAAUCUUAAAUCUUCAUUUUCAAAAAUUGUGUUUUGAGAAGCAGGAAUGUUGGGAAAAAAUCUGGAAGGAGAAUUGAGGAUGGGGAAAAGGCAGAGAAGAUAAAAAACACAUCAGCUUUGGCACUGGCAAGGAAUGGGGACUCAGGGAUGCUCAUUGACAGGCAGCUGGAUAUGUAUCAGCAGUGUGCUCAGGUGGCCAAAAAAAACAGUGGCAGCUUGGUCUAUAUCAAGAAUACUGUGGCCAGCAGGACCAAGGAAGUGAUUUUCCUGCUGUACUCGACACUGGUGAGGCGACACCUUGAGUACUAUUUUCAGUUUUGGGCCCCUCAUUUCAAAAAGGAUAUUGAGGUGAUGGAGCUUGUCCAGAGAAUGGACAAUGCUGGUUAAGGGUCCAGAAAACAUGUCCUACGAGGAACAACAACUGGGGAAACUGUGGUUGUUAAUCUGGAGAAAAGGAGACUAAGUUGGGACUUCAUUGUUCACUACGACUACCUGAUAGGAGGUUGUAGUGAGGUGAAGGUUGGUCUCUUCUUCCAAGUCUCAAGUGAAAA